rnacentral:lncRNA from 1 species
CAAAAUGAGAGGAACUGCAGAAAACUUAGUUGUCACCUGAAAAAUAUAACUUUGAGACUGUCAGUCUUGAGAGUGAGUUAAAAUCAUAUAAUCUGAAAUAAUAUGCAACGUCCAAAUAAAUAAUUAAUAUAAAUUAGAAUAAAUAAAAAGCAUGCCAUGUCAUAUUUUGAAAAAUAUAAUUUUAAUAUAAAAUAGGACGAGUACAUCAGCGGAAUCCUAUACUCCAAUUCUAUCAACUAUUUGGCUCUUUUGUUCCAAUGAGACUGGCGCCCAGAGAGUAAAGCUCGAUCAAGGACCUUUCCUCUGGCAAAUCAAAAUUUCUAUAAGCCUAGAGAACUAUACUCAACCAAGAUACAUCAUAUAAAUAUUUCACUAUUACCUACCUCUGAUUUAUAUCGACACAUACACGGUCCUGAUGCAAUCCAUCAGGUGGCAUGUUCUACUGUCGUCUGAUCCCGAAUCACAAUUACAAAUAUAGCAUUUAUAAUAUUUAAAAUAACAUGAUACACAAACAAUCAUAAUAUUAUUCAAUUUAAUAUUAAGUACUAAAUUUAAAUAACAACGAUUAAAAUUAAAAUAAUAGUCAAACAUAAUACUUAUAGUAAUAAUAAUAAUAAUAAAAUAAUGAUAAUGAUAAAAAUAAAAUAAUAAUAAUAAAUAAUAAUAAUCAUCAUCAUCAUAAUAAUAAUCAUUAAUAAAAUAACAUUGCACUAAAUAAUAACGUGACACAUGUACAGUUGAUUAUAUGACUUUAAUUUAUAGUUUUGUCGAAUUUCCUUUAGCUGCUCCUAUGCCUCUGGCAGAGCUAUCUGAAUCGUUAAAUUAUCUAUACACAAAAAUAAUUCAAUCCAUAAAAAUAUUUUGUAAAUAACUUGGGCUUAGACUCCUAGAAUGAGGCUCCCUAAGAAUUUCAACUUGAAAAUUCUACCGAAGAUUCAGUGGAACCUCCUCUAAAAUAUGGACAUUUACCCCACAAUAACAGGUCCAGAACCUGUUGAAAACACUCCUAAUACUUAUUAAAUAUUUAACAGGAAUCGGACCACCCAUAGCUGCAUUAUUUUACUGACUCCACAACACACUGCAGUCCGGUAUUAAUAUUUAUUGCAUAUCCAACUCAUAAAUAAUUCAUCGGUAUCUAAUUAAAUAUUCAUAGCCACAAUUAUUACAAAACCAAAUACUAAUUAAUGAUUUUAAUUAAUCCAUAGUGUAUGUAAUUAAACUAUCAAUUAAUUAAAUUAAAUUAAAUAAUAAUUUAAAAUUAAUAGAGUUAAUAUUUUCUGAUAAUUUUUAAAUAAUUUUUAAGGUCCAAAUAAAUUAUACUAAGCUAGUAAACUAAAAUUUUGCGCGCCCGAAAACACCAAGGUCCUAAAGUUGGAACCGCCAACGGUGUUAUCCGAAAGUACCUAUGUAAAACGUAAGAGGUGAGGAACCCGGAAAAGUAAAUAUCUCCGCCUAAAACCCACUGAAAGCCAUCAGAUCAAGGCUAAAAAGUUUCAGCCCCUGUGAGGCUAUACCAAGACUGCCGACGAAAGAAAAUGUGGGAGGAGGAUUGUCUUAAUGUUUUCAAGAGUGAGGAAUCUCUUUCCACCGUUGGAUCAGAGAAAUAAUGAUGGUAGCAGAGAGGAAAGUCUUCCCUCUAAAAACAUCGCUCGUGUUUUCAGGCGGAACCAACAGCAGAGGCAAGCUGCCGACGUCAAGAACGGCUUCCAGCAAGCUUCUGGGGGCGAAAGACGGUUGGAAAAUGGAGAUGCGAGGGGAGGAGUCAAUGGUAAGGGAGGGAGAGGAGAAAACAUUUGGGAUAUGCAUAGGGACAUAACUCAAUUUUUUUCAAAAAAGAAAAAUGUCUUUGAGCCCCCCCUUAAAACAAAACAUUGCUACAGUAACCCAUAAUCAUUUAUUUUAUUUAUUUUGUAUAUAUAUAUACCCUUAAUUUAUUAUCCCAAUAAUUAAACACUAGCUUAAACUUAUAAUAAUAAUUAUUAUUAUUAUUAUAUAAAAUAAAUUAAUUAAUUAAUAAUAAUUAAUGUAGUAAAAUCCAAGUUAAAUAGAAAACGAACAUUUUAAAUAAAGCUAAUUUAAAUAAAAUUUGACUCAUCUAUCACAAAACUAAAUUUAAAGUUGACCAAAAUCACUAUAAUGUUUAGUGACAAUACUAAAUUAAAUGGUACUUAUAGUAUUCGAUUAUUAAAUUAAUUUAUUAAAUGCUAAGUUUAACAUCAGAAUUAUUUAUUCACCAAAUUGUCCCUGAAAAUAAAUGAAACUAAAAUUUAAAAAUUACAGGUAUUAUAUUCUCCCCUUUUAAGAAUAUUCAUUAUCAAAUUUUAGAAAGACAAGGGUUACCUCAAGACCGAAAAAGAUAGAGUAGGAAUCUCUCAUCUCAUGCUCGGUCUUCCAAGUACAUUCCUUGGUAGAAUGAUUCUGCCACAACACCUUAAGCAUCAAUAUGAUCUUAGAGCAAAGCUGGCGAACUUGAGUAUCUAUAAUCUUGACUGACUGCUCCUUAUAAGUCAAAUCUUCGCUCACUUCCACAUAUUGAGGUUGCAAAACGUACAAAGGAUUUGAAAUAUACUUCCUUAACAUAGAUAUAUGAAAUAUCGGAUACACGUGCUAGAAAUUUGGUAGUAAAUCCAAAUUAUUUGCUACCUCUCCAAUUUUAUCGAUAAUCUCGAAGGGUCCCACAUAAGGUGGGGUCAACUUGCCCUUCAUAUCAAACCGCAUCACACCUUGCAUAAGAGAUACCUUCAGGAAUACAUACUCUCCAAUAUUGAACUCCACAUGCUUUCGUUUUGGAUUUGCAUAACUCUUUUGCCUACUAAGAGAUGCCUUCAGUCUCUUGCGAAUAAUAAAAAUCUUUUCCGAAGUAAUCUGAACCAGCUUUAGUCCUACUAAUUUCCCUCACCAACUUCUUACCAACACACAAGAGAUCUACACUUUUUGUUAUAUAACGCUGUAUAAGGAGUCAUCUCGAUGCUCGUAUGAUAAUUGUUGUUGUAAGCAAACUUAAUCAAUGGCAGCUACUAAUUCUAGUAACUACCAAAAUCCAUAACACACAUUUAAAGCAUGUCUUCCAAAGUCUGAAUUCUCCUUUCCGGCUGACCAUCGGUCUGAGGAUAGAAAGUUAUGCUAAAGUUAUGCUAAAGUCCAAUAUGGUACCAAGCUCUUCUUGUAGAUUUCUCCAAAAUUUUGAAGGGAAUUAUGGUCCCCUAUCAUAUACUAUAGAAAUAGAAACUCCAUGAAGACUUACAAUCCUUUCCAAAUAUAUUGUUGCAUACUUAACCAUAUAAUAAGUAGUCUUCACAGGUAGAGUGUUGUCUUAGUCAACUGGUCCACAAUCACCAAGAUAGAGUCAUUACUCGGCCGAAGUCUUAGGCAAACCUGAUACAAAAUACAUAGUAAUCAUUUCCUAUUUUUACUCCAAAAUAGAAAGUAGCUGCAACAAUCCUGACGGCUUCUAAUGCUCAACCUUAACCUACUGACAUGUCAAAUACUUAAAACAAACUCUGCCACAUCCUUUAUCAUCCCUUUCCAUUAAUAAAUGCCUUUCAAAUCAUGGUACAUCUUAAUAGAACCUGGGUAGACACUUUAAGCUGUAUAGUGAGCCUCUUCUAAAAUCUUCUUUCUGAGACUAUCCGCAUCGGAAACACAUAACCAAGUGCCCAUCCUGAGAGUAGCAUCAUCAUCUAUAAUAAAAUCAUUGGCUUGACCUUACUACACUUAUUUGCAGAUUUUCCUCAAUUACGGGUUUUGACUCUAAGCUGACUUGAUUCUAUCAAUAAGUACGGACCAAACCUUGAAAUGUGCUAACACUUGUGUUAUGAUUGCAAUACUUAAAGUUAAAACGACUAUAGUCUAUAUGGCACUCUGUGAGGUCGUGUUAGAGAUAACUGUUGGUAGUCUUUCUAAUGGGUAUGAACAUCACGGUCAUGAUGGCUAUGUUGUGGUUACGAUCUGCCUAAAAUAAAGGAUCUGAGAUAGCGAUCUUGAUCGCAAUCGCAAUGGUGGUUGCUAUUUUUACUACCUUUAUUUUUCCAUUUCUCACGAUAGUGAUCUAAUCUCUGCUGCAAUAGUUACAAAAAUAUGAAUGUCGCAGUGGCAACAUGCUGAUGGCGGUCACGAUUUAGGAGGCAAAAGUGGAAAUGUGAUUCUAAGGUAGAAUGACUUCCUUCAAAAAGAGACACUCAAAAGCUAAUACUGGAGCUGCUCAAUUUAAUUUUUAAGGUCAAAUAUAAGGGUGUUUAUAGUCGUGAAAGAAGUUAGUCUAAUAAUUUUGGUUUUAAAUCUUUUUUAAAAUAUGAAUGAGAGGCAAACGUCAUCACAUUAUUAGUAUGUAUUUUAAGUGGGCUCUACCAGAACUAUUAAUUUAGAUUUAAUUGAAUAUUUUACAAAAGAUAAAAGAGCUAAUUUUAAAAAAAAAAUGAUGCAUAGAAGUUUAAUAGUUUUUUUUAAAUUAUUUAUGAAUUUCUUUAUCUAGAAAACUUUUUUCUCAUCUAAUAUUCCCAAUACCUUUUUAUUAGGGUUUUGCCACCACCCCAUGGUAUUUUCACUUAAUUUGUAUAUAUUUCUUUGUUUCUAGUGGCAGGUAUUGGUCUUUUUUUAUUUAGUGCCUGUUGUUGACUUUUUAUUGAAGUUUUUUGAAACUGCUUUCAGUCGGCCAUGGAGGAGUACAACAAAGUUCGGCAUGCUUACCUACUCAGAUCCUAUGGGAUGCCGUCAGUUGAAAGGUACUAGUCGGUAUGAGGAAAGUUUGUUGGCGUGACAGAGAUGUGAGAAGCUUAAUCCAUUCGAUAACUGCUCUCUUUCCCUUUGCAUGAUUCAUGGCCUUUCGGUCCAAGAUCAAAUUGUUGGCUUCUUAGGCAAUCUAUUAAGCUUCCAAAGGUAUAUCAUAUGGCCUGGGAAGAACACGAUUUGGUUUAAUUAGAGAGCAUACUUUGAUUGGAUUUUUUAUUUGGGUUAUGGGUAUUGGAGCUCCUACUUUUACUUCUGUUGAUGGAAGCUCCCAGUGAUAUAACUUUUCAAUUUGGGUGGAGGUGCUUUCUUUGCAUUAGGUUAAGUGGUUUUGAUUGGCUUAUUAGUUUUUCACCUGCUCAUGUAACGACAUCAGUGCGAUGAAGGGUGCUAGCAAAGAGGAGAUCCUUUGGGGGCAUUUCAACAAUUUUUUAUGUUUUAUAGCCUGCAGACUGAUGUAUGGUUGAGCAUUUAGCCUUUUUUCUAGGUUUGUUGGGUUGUAUACCCCUUGUUUCAAAGCCUUGUUUAGUUUUUUUUUUUUUUUGGAUAAAAUGGAGAGAGGAGACGAGGAGAAGUCGUAAUUCUCGCUAAGUACAACCAAAUUGGCACUCUUUACCUGUAAAAUAUUUGUAGAGUUAUAGAAUAAUUUAUGUUUGGAGCUUUGGCCCAAUAUUUGCAUUUCAUGUUAAGCCUUUCAAAUUUAUAAUUCUCCUCUUAUGUACUGCUUUAGGUCUUAUGAACUGUUUAAUGCCAGCAAUAUCUUUCGAUUGUUAAAAGUCACAAAGUAACCUAGACUAUUAACAAACACGUG